GACCUCAUACAAGAUGGCGGCACCCGAGGAACACGAUUCUCCGACCGAAACGUCCCAGCCGAUUGUGGAAAAGGAGGAAACUAAAACAUUUAAAGACCUGGGUGUGACAGAUGUGUUGUGUGAAGCUUGUGACCAGUUGGGAUGGACAAAACCCACCAAGAUCCAGAUUGAAGCUAUUCCUUUGGCCUUACAAGGUAGGUUGUAUGACUUCGUACAGAUUUAAUAUAAAGUUAUCUCAAUUAGGUACUUACCCCUUUUGAAAGCUAUUGCUUGCAUACUUCAAGUGAAAUAAGGAUAUGGUCACUAAAGGUACAAAGUUUGGGUAAUGGUAUUUGAAAAUGUCAUUCUCCACUUUUACUGAGCUUACUUUCUGUCUUAAUAGCUGAAAGGGUUUGUUCUCUGCCACAGGUGCUGACUUUAAGGAAGCCCUAGGUUAAAGUUAAAGUAUAUUAACGACAAUCUUGGUAGACUUUAUGCGUCAAUGGGCGCACACUUAGGGAAGGAUGCCUGGAACACAUAUGUGUGUCUUGAGGAGUUGAGAAUUCUUGCUGUGAGCCAUGUUUAUCAGAUUUGUAAAAGAGUGGUUAAAGCAGAUUGAUGGCUACUGGAACUGAAACUAAUGGGAUGAACUU
rnacentral:sRNA from 1 species